rnacentral:rRNA from 1 species
AGCGAACGCUGGCGGCGUGCCUAACACAUGCAAGUCGAACGAGAAAGUCCUUCGGGAUGAGUAGAGUGGCGCACGGGUGAGUAAGGAAUAGGAACGUACCUUUUGGAGGGGGAUAACUACGGGAAACCGUGGCUAAUACCGCAUGAGAUCGAGAGAUGAAAGGAGGCCUCUGCUUGCAAGCUUCCGCCGAUAGAGCGGCCUAUUUCCCAUUAGCUAGUUGGUGGGGUAAAGGCCUACCAAGGCUACGAUGGGUAGCUGGUCUGAGAGGACGAUCAGCCACACUGGAACUGAGACACGGUCCAGACUCCUACGGGAGGCAGCAGUGGGGAAUCUUGCACAAUGGGCGAAAGCCUGAUGCAGCAACGCCGCGUGAGUGAAGAAGGCCUUUGGGUUGUAAAGCUCUUUCGGUUGGGAAGAAGGGGAUGUGAGCUAAUACCUCAUAUUUUUGACGGUACCAGCAUAAGAAGCACCGGCUAAUUCCGUGCCAGCCGCCGCGGUAA